rnacentral:rRNA from 1 species
GGUUUGAUCCUGGCUCAGAUUGAACGCUGGCGGCAUGCCUUACACAUGCAAGUCGAACGGCAGCACGGGAGCUUGCUCCUGGUGGCGAGUGGCGAACGGGUGAGUAAUGCAUCGGAACGUAUCCUGGAGUGGGGGAUAACGUAGCGAAAGUUUACGCUAAUACCGCAUAUUCUGUGAGCAGGAAAGCGGGGGACCUUCGGGCCUCGCGCUCUUGGAGCGGCCGAUGUCGGAUUAGCUAGUUGGUGAGGUAAAGUCUCACCAAGGCGACGAUCCGUAGCAGGUCUGAGAGGAUGAUCUGCCACACUGGAACUGAGACACGGUCCAGACUCCUACGGGAGGCAGCAGUGGGGAAUUUUUGGACAAUGGGGGCAACCCUGAUCCAGCCAUGCCGCGUGAGUGAAGAAGG